rnacentral:rRNA from 1 species
UACGGGGGGUGCAAGCGUUGUUCGGAAUUAUUGGGCGUAAAGAGCGUGUAGGCGGUUUGUUAAGUCUGAUGUGAAAGCCCUGGGCUCAACCCAGGAAGUGCAUUGGAAACUGGCAGACUUGAAUACGGGAGAGGGCAGUGGAAUUCCUAGUGUAGGAGUGAAAUCCGUAGAUAUUAGGAGGAACACCGGUGGCGAAGGCGGCAUCCUGGACCGGUAUUGACGCUGAGGCGCGAAAGCCAGGGGAGCAAACGGG